UUCUGCUGACAAAUAGUGUGCGUUCAGCUGUGCUGAAAGGCAGCCCUGGUUGAAUGAGGUCCAGUGUUUACAGGACAGCAGCUAGAGCUGCUGGAGACGGGGUCACUUGCCGUGAAACGAUAUAUCAGUGCUCUGUGCCUUAUAAUCAAAGUCCCAGGGGAUAUUCAAUGAAACUGAAAGGUGGCAGAUUUAACACCGAUCAAAGGAAAACUAGAAAAGGCUCCAGCAGUUCUGCGCUGAUGAACGACGCUCAAAUUAACGAGCUCCCGUCCGUCGUUGGGACGAAACGCAGCAAAGGCUAAUCUAAAGCUGGGCGUUUGUUGAGACUGGAACAUGUCACCCUAAGAGGCUACGCAAUCGAGGAGGCAUUGGAAGGCGAGCAGUAAGAGCCCUGAUAGCUUCUGAACAGCUGACAUUCCUCAGCAUCAGCACGAGAGCUGGUCAACAUUUUUCCCUCAAAACUU